rnacentral:rRNA from 1 species
UACGAAGGGGGCGAGCGUUGUUCGGAAUCACUGGGCGUAAAGCGCGCGUAGGCGGCUUUGUAAGUUAGAGGUGAAAGCCCGGGGCUCAACCCCGGAAUUGCCUUUAAGACUGCAUCGCUUGAAUCCGGGAGAGGUGAGUGGAAUUCCGAGUGUAGAGGUGAAAUUCGUAGAUAUUCGGAAGAACACCAGUGGCGAAGGCGGCUCACUGGACCGGCAUUGACGCUGAGGUGCCGAAAGCGUGGGGAGCAAACAGG